CAACUACUCCCUCUGUCCCAAAUUUCUUGUCUUAGGUUUGUCUAGAUACUGAUGUAUCUAAUACUAAGAUGUGACUUGAUACAUCCAUAUCUAGACAAAUCUAAGACAAGAAUUUUGGGACGGAGGGAAUACUUU
rfam:Triticum urartu cultivar G1812 contig497275, whole genome shotgun sequence.